GGGCCUUUUCCGGCCUUGGCCAGGUGGGAAAUGGGGUCGCCUAGCAGCCGUCGCCGCUAUAUUUUGCUCCGGACCAGGUGGCGGGAUCUAGGGUUCUGUUGUCACCGCGCUAGGGAGCGGUCAGGCUGCGCGGCGGGACCGGGCUCGGGGGUUGCAGUAGAUGAGACACCGCUGCUGGUUGCCAGACUUGGUGUAGGUAGGUGGAUUUUGGUGAGCGGGAGCAGCGAGUUCCUUCCCAUGCAGGUUCCUUAAGCCUCAGGGUCCCGUGCAACAGUCCAGCUUCCCGACCCCUUAGUCUUUGGUCUGCAGUCCGUUUGCCUUCUUCUAGCUUCACCUGUGAUUUCCUCGGCCCAACUGCACUCAUUUCAAUCGAAGGUAAAGCACAGUGAAAUAGUUCAGGAUGGCCCCUAAUAUAAACUGGAAAGAAAUCAUGAAAGUUGACCCAGAUGACCUUCCUCGUCAAGAAGAAUUGGCAGAUUAUUUAUUGAUUUCCUUAUCUAAGGUUAUUCAGAAAUUCAGAGCUCGAUGACAAUAAGUGAGCCAGUGAGUGGGCCUGUGGACACACCUCACUGUUCCAUUAAAGGCAAACACAUGCCUUGAAAGAAAUUGCACAUUUGUUUUCAAAGCAUUUGUUCAGAACAUUCUGUUGCCUUGUGGAAACCAUGACAAUUAUGCCCAGGACAUGAAGUACACCUGUACAUAGAGCCCCUGCAAGUUUAAUGUCUGCUAACCCAUUGACACACAGAUUUGAGGAGUUCUGGGAGCUGAUCUUCAGGGAUUACACACCUGUUCCCAGCACGUGCAAUAGUCCCUAAGAAUCCAAACCAUGCCGAAAACCCUUCUCUGAUGUUACCUAGUAUUAUGGAUGGAAUGUUUGUGUCCCACCAAAAUUCAUAUGUUGAAACCCUACCGCACAAUGUGAUGUUAGAAGGUGAGGCCUCUGGAAGGUAAGUAGCUGAGGUCGUGGGGACAGAGCCUCAUGAAUGGGGUCGGCGCCCUUAGAAGAGCCACGAGAGCGCUUCCUGCUCUCUGCCACGUGAGGAGGCAGUGACAGCCGGCAGCCUGCACCUCACAGAAGGCUCACCAGAGCCCAGCCAGGCCGGCACACCAACCUCAGACUGGCCACCAGGACUGCGAGGAAUAAAUUUCUGUUGUUUAUAAGCCACCCAGACUAUUGUACUUGUUAGAGUGGCCCAGCUGGACUAAGACACCCUAGUUGGCCUUGACCCAGAGAAAUGCUUCUAAAGAUAAACAUUGAGAAGUUCCUUGCAAAAAUUUUACUGUGAGAAAUGGUCUUUUUGUUUUUAAAUUUGUGAAAAACUGGAAACUCUAAAUAACCCACAUGGAGAGGUUUAAUCAAAACUCUCUAUAUAAUAAAUUAUGCAUCCAUUAUAAUGAUAUAGAAGAACAUGUGAUAAUAUUAAAAAGUCUAUAAUAAGGAACUAAGAGAAAAAAUAAAUUCUCAAACAUGUACAGCAGACAUUUAAAAUGUGUGCACACAUGCACACAUGCAAUGUAUGUAGAGUGCAUACUGAAGAGUCCAGAAAAAUCAACAAGAUGUUAACAGUCUAAGGAGGUUGGAUUUCUGGAUUAACUUCAUACUUUUGACUUUUAUUUUCUAUUCGACAAGGAACAUAUAUUAUUUGGGUAAUACGAAAAAAAAAACCCAGGAUUGGUUAUAUAUAAAAUAAACAAUUCCAAGCUCUGGAAUUGAGAGACCAGUGGGGGAGUUUUGAGGCCAAGGAUGCUCUGAGGACACUGUCAGCACAACUAUGGAAGAAAAGCAUGGGGCCCAGAACUCUGCCCCACUGAGGCCCUUAUCUAAGAUGACUCAGGUCCUUGUCUGACAUUGCUGUUCACCCAGCUCUAUGGUGCUUGCUUAUCGGAUAAGGCCUGAGUCAGAGAUGGAGAGGGUGUUUGCCUCUGAUGUCUGUGUGGAGGAAGAAAUAACACCAAAACCUUAUAAAUUCACAGUCUCAAUCCAAUGGGUGCCCUAGCAAAGUAACAAUUCUGUUAAAGGAAGAGGGUCCCUAGAACAGAACAGAGCAUUUGAUGUGGGCUGGGUAAGAAUCACACAGUGAGAUCUGUGGUCAUUGGCACAGAAAUAUACACAGUUCAUCUUGAAAAAUCUCACCCCUUCCCCAGAAGUAUCUAAUAGACUUUAUGAAUGCAUUUUUUCUACUCAGUAUAGUCAGCCAAUGUGUAAUAAGUAAGUGCUGAAGGUCACACUUACUGGACUUGGAAGUGAUGCACAUCUCCUCAUUUGAAUAGUUGAUUUAAUAUUGUUAUUUCUAUGCUGUAUCAUUGGGUUAGAGCUCAAGUCUACUGAAGCCUCAGGAGCUGGUUUUAUUCCCAUAUAUGGUUGUUAUCUUAAGACAGAAUUUUCUCCACUGCCACAAAACUCUUCUUCUAAGCCCUUAAUCUGGAUAUGUCACAAGGUGCCUAUAUAACACAAGGACAUCAUAACUCCUGGGAAGUUAUGGAAACAGACACUUCGCAUCCUGAGGAAUGCUGCUUCUGUGACAACCUUCUGGCUGAGAUCAGCAGGCAAAUAUUAUCUCUGCAACAUCACAGAAGCAUCUUCAAAUUGAGGGACAUCAAGCAACAUAUUAAAAAUAAAAGGGAAACAACAAAUCCUUGUCCCACUGAGACAGUAGGCCUCCAUUCCUGUAAACAGGAAACCAUUGGCCAUUUGUUGCAGGGGUGGCCAGAGGAGGCCAGGAGUGAAGCUUUGUUUGGCAAAAAUGAUGCAGAACAGAGAUUUGCCAGACAGAGCCAGAAGAAAGAAGACAGGCAAUGGGCAUACCCAGAAGAUGACACCAGCAGGAAAGGGGAAAUUUUUCUGCCCUUCCUUAGAAUAGUACUGUUGUCAGGCAGCUGCGUCUGUGGAGGUAGCUCGCUCUGCUCUAGGUGAAACCUCGACCUGGAUGGUGGAGGGUUCCUGACUCUGGGAAAAAAUCCUCAAACAGGUCUGAUGAGUGUAGGCAAGGAAGGAACUCAUUAAAGCAAGAGUAGUAGUGCAUGGCUGCAACUAUGCAGGCAGUACAGAGCCAGGAAGAGCAGAGGGAGGAAAGGAAAGUUGAUUAAACUCCUGCUCGGCACAGGGCAGAUCUCUUCCCAAUUCCUGAAGCCAGGGUCACCUGGCAUCCGUGUCCACUGGAAUCUGCCCAGCAUGGGAACUAAACCCCUACCUACCACCCCAGGAUUUGGAGGAGCCAUAGAGCACUGGAUGGAGUAAGUUUAUAUUUUGAGAAUUUCCCAAAACAAAGAAAGAUUUUUGGGGAGGCUACUAAAGAGCAUGAUCUUACAGCUGCCAUCCUGUCCAAGUCACCCAGGUGACAGAAACCUGAAGCCCAAAUCAGAGACCUCAGUAUCCCUUCUCUACUUUUCUGAAGUAGGACAGCAAGUGAAGACUUCUGCUUAAAUUCUAGAAAAUGGAAUGAAAUAGCAAAGUUACAAAGAUGCUUACCACUGGACGAGCACAGAGACCAAACACAGUAAGUUGAGCAGUGAGAAGGCAAAGUAC